GCCUUGGUGAUGCAAUGGUAGCACGCGUCCUCGGUGUGAAUGAAACACGGGUUCAACUCCCGUCCGAGGUC